UCAGAGACCCUGUAUGUUCAAUAACCCAUAUAAGCACUUACAUCACUUCAUGAAAUUUCUAGUUUCUACUCGUAGUAUUUGUAGUUUGCAAUCCCAUUUUCUGAUAAUGUAUGUUUAAAAGAGGCUUAAUGGGUUCUUGUUGUUUUGUUGAGUUGUUUUAAUAGGGACAAAGUAUUAACAUUUUGUAACAUGCUUGUUUUUUUUUGUAUAUUUCCUAUUUGAAACAAUUUUGUUUACCUUAACAAACUAUAUAUAUCAUAAAGUUUUACAAUUGCAUGAAAGUGUAGACUUCAUUUACUUAUUAAUCUGUUACCAAAUGAUCAGGAAGAUUUAACUUAAUAAGAGUUGGCAAACACUUUCGCAUCGUGGACACUUCCUGGCCAUCUGCAAUCUACAUCCAUGAAACGACCUUGAAAAUCACAAACAGCUUGAACACUCAAGGAAUAAAACUGUUUAUAAUUAAAAUAUUCUUGAGAGUUACAAA